UACAGAGGGUGCAAGCGUUUAAUCGGAAUUACUGGGCGUAAAGCGUGCGUAGACGGUUAUGUAAGUCGGGUGUGAAAGCCCCCGGGCUCAACCUGGGAAUGCCAUUCGAGACUGCAUAGCUAGGGUGCGGAAGAGGGAAGCGGAAUUUCCGGUGUAGCGGUGAAAUGCGUAGAUAUCGGAAGGAACACCAGUGGCGAAAAGCGGCUUCCUGGUCCAGCACCCGACGUUCAGGCACGAAAGCGUGGGGAGCAAACAGG
rnacentral:rRNA from 1 species